rnacentral:rRNA from 1 species
UACGUAGGGAGCAAGUGUUGUUCGGAUUUACUGGGCGUAAAGAGCGUGUAGGCGGCCAGGUAGGUCGGUUGUGAAAACUGAAGGCUCAACCUUCAGAGGUCGACCGAAACCAUCUGGCUAGAGUCCGGGAGAGGAGAGUGGAAUUCCUGGUGUAGCGGUGAAAUGCGCAGAUAUCAGGAAGAACACCCGUGGCGAAAGCGGCUCUCUGGAACGGUACUGACGCUGAGACGCGAAAGCGUGGGGAGCGAACAGG